GUUGUACUCAGUCAUAGGAAGUUGCUUUGUAUAAAAGCUUCAGAAACAUGAUACAUCUUCCUACUUUCAACCACACCGAUACAGAGACCCCGAAAGGUCAUGACACUGAGGACACAGGUCACAUAAGAACACAGGAUAACAUCUGUCUCACUACUUUAACUUUUACCUAAAGCAUUUGCUUACCUCACAACCACGCCUCCACCCAGCAGGGAAGCUGCAGCUGUAGUGUGAUGUUUUGCAUGGUUUACCACUACUACACUCACUCAGCACCACCGUCAUAGCGUUGCUCUUCUGGAUCCCUCAGCACGGUCAGCGCCGGGUGGAGGAGGGGAUCAUUUUCCCGACACGUCUGUGUGCAUUUUUCUUCUAGACGAUGAGACUUGUUUUUAAAUCAGCGGUUAGACGAAGGCUUAUGAAACAGGCGUAUUUAAACUUGUGCUGUUUAAAAAUAAAAAGUACAACAUGCCUCUUCAGAUCAUGAAAGAUGGAGAUUGUUUUUACAGUACAUGAAGGUUUAUUAUAUCAAUCUUUAGCCACCACCCACAGAUGUCUAUAAAAAUGGAGAAACACUUUGAUUUGUACAAGUUUACGACACUGGUGUGCACUCGGGAAAUGACACCGCUGUCUUUACACGAAGCCAACAUGAAACUUUCAUCACUCCGCAAGUUAUCAAGACGGUUUUGCUUUGCAGACCUUAGCGGAGACACCGCACACUGGUAGACACCCCCCCCCCCCCCAAAGACAGACAACUGAGGGGAGUUUGGGGGGAACAAAACCUCCUCUGUAGUCUGAAGAAAUGACCAUUUAAAAAUUCUCCCACAUCAACACAGACAGUUUCACACAGUCUCUGAACGUUUUUACAAGGUCUGUCGUAAAAAAACGAGCCGCAAGUUGCAGUGGCAAUUUGGCUUGGGCGCACGGUAAGAACGGUUCCUCGGUUAUAAACGUUUAGAAACUGCUACAGCGCUGGAAGGACAGUCCACACAGUACAGACACCUAGACAAGAUCCAACCCCAACACAGAAACCACAUUUAUACCCACAGCAGCCAACGAAAGAUCACGCGACACAGGAAACCUGCGCCUGCCUCACUGAGCGUGCUCAGAACACAGUCCAACCAGUACAAAAACCAAAGUGGCCACUUGCGCUGAAGAAAAGGAUGAACUGGGGGGAAAAAAAAAA